UGCUUCUUGAUUAUUAAUAAGAAGUAUUUUCCUGCCCAGUGAUAUUUCAACGGCCGCGGUAUCCUAACCGUGCAAAGGUAGCAUAAUAACUUGUCUAUUAAUUGUAGACUAGAAUGAACGGAAUAACAAAAUAAGUACUGUGUCAGCUAUAUUAAUAAAAACUAGUAUUAAAGUGAAGAAACUUUAAUAAAGUAAGAGGACAAGAAGACCCUAUAGAGCUUUAUUAUAUUUUAACUAUCAGCUAAAAGUAAUUCGGUUGGGGCGACCUAGGAUAAUUCAUCCUUUAUACAAAAGAUAAACAAAUCAUACAAAAGACCCUUAAUUAAGAUCAAAGAAUCAAGCUACCUUAGGGAUAACAGGCUAAUCCUAUUAAAGAGCUCUUAUCGACAAUAGGGAUUGGCACCUCGAUGUUGGCUUAGAAAAUCUAUGUGGCGCAGAAGUCACAGAGAGAUGGUUUGUUCAACCAAUAAUAUUCU
rnacentral:rRNA from 1 species